UGCUCAAUGAUUAACCCAUGCACCAUGGCAAUACACGCUAUUCUGAAUCAUAUUAAGAUGCCAUAAACAUUAUGAGAGCA
rnacentral:snoRNA from 10 species